GACCCUCAGACAGGCGAGGCCCCGGGCAGGACCCGAGGCCGCAAUGUGCGUUCGAAAAAUCAGUGCUCAAUGUGUCCUGCAAUUCACACCAAAUCUCGCAGCUGGCUGCGUUCUUUCUUCUGAUUGACCUGUGAGCUGAGGAUCCACUGUCUAGAGU